UUUUGUAUCGAAAGACGAGGGACGUUUAAAGAAACGUUUUUCAAUUUUUUUAAGAGCCUCAGAUUUCUUAUAUAAGGCGCAGUUUCUGUUAAACAAACCACCAGUCUUCUACAGACCACAACGUAAAAAUGAACAAGUCAGCACUUCUCCUUUUGCUCGUCAUCGGACUCCUCGUUCUCACUGAAACCACUGAUGCGUGGCGACGUCGCGUCAGAUGGCAUACAUACAACCAAAAGUCAACAAGUGAUGAAGAAAAUGAUUCAAUGAUGGAUGCAGUGAGAGAUGCAGUUAUGCAAAAGCUCAGCCAACAGGAUGAAUAAUUAGCUUGCCUAUUCAGUGCAUUAUAAGAUGUUGAUUUGAAUAAAUUCAAAAGCAACAUUA